UACAUCAGCGUCCUCGCCCCCAAGGCAGGG
rnacentral:sRNA from 1 species